AAACCAGCACCUCAAGUGGUCAGGAGGAUUAUUGGGCCUAAAGCAUCCGUAGCCUGUUCUAUAAGUUUCCGGUUAAAUCCACUAGCUCAACUAGUGGGCUGCCGAAAAUACUGUAGAACUAGGGAGUGAGAGAGGUAGACGGUAUUCGGUAGGAAGGGGUAAAAUCCUUUGAUCUAUUGAGGACCACCUGUGGCGAAGGCGGUCUACCAGAACACGUUCGACGGUGAGGGAUGAAAGCUGGGGGAGCAAACAGGAUUAGAAACCCCGGUAGUCC
rnacentral:rRNA from 1 species